UUAUCACACCACUCCAGGAGACUCUUAGAGGCAAUGCUGCAAAUUGACCCUCAGAGAAGGUGGACAUUACAUAAAAUCCUGAAGUACAAAUGGUUGGAGAAACCAUCUCUGAGUGAAGAACUUCCGAAUUCCACCGUAGGAAGCUCUGACAUAAACCCCAUAAUAAUAUUGGAUCCUGAAGAAGAACCACGAACCACAUAGUGGGAAACUUUUAAAAACUGCUUCUGCUGUUACAAAUAAUAUCAUCUGGGGAUCCAGCAGCAAUAAACAUCUAGACAGGAGUUAAUUACCACCCAGUCCUGGAGCAUCAAUUCCCUUGUCCAUCUGGCCCAGGAGCUAAUAUCAUCUGUCCCUGGUGCAACUCAGCCCUCACCCUUACCAAAAAUAUCUGGCCCAGAAUCUAAUACCAUCUGACCCUGGUGCGACUCAGCCCUCACCCUCGCCAAAAUCAUCUGACCCAGGAGCUAAUACCAUCUGGCCCUCUUGCAACUCAGCCCUCACCCUAACAUCUGGCUCAGGAGCUAAUACCAUCUGGCCCUGAUGCAACUCAGCCCUCACCCUCGCCAAAAACAUCUGACCCAGAAGCUAAUACCAUCUGGCCCUGGUACAUCUCAGCCCUCACCCUCGCCAAAAACAUCUGACCCAGAACCUAAUACCAUCUGGCCCUGGUACAUCUCAGCCCUUACCCUCACCAUAACAUCUGGCCCAGGAGCUAAUAUAUCUGGCCCUGGUACAUCACAGCCCUCAACCUUGCCUAUAACAUCUGGCUCAGGAGCUAAUACCAUUUGGCCCUGGUACAUUACAGCCCUCAGCCUUGUCUAUAAACAUCUGGCCCAGGAGCUAAUACCAUCUGGCCCUAACACUUGCCUAAUAACAUCUGGCCCAGGAGCUUAUGUACUUAUGGCCCUGGAAAUCCUUCAUCCUCCUCAUCUAUGCCAACUACAAUCUAGCCCAGGAGCUUAUGUACUUAUGGCCCUGGAAAUCCUUCAUCCUCCUCAUCUAUGCCAACUACAAGCUAGCCUAGGAGCUUAGGUAACAUCUGGCCCUGACCUUCAUCCUCUUCAUCUACACCAACUGUGACUG